UGCAAGUCGAGCGCAGGAAUAAACAGAACCCUUCGGGGUGAUGUUUAUGGAAUGAGCGGCGGACGGGUGAGUAACACGUGGGCAACCUGCCUGUAAGAUCGGGAUAACUCGCGGAAACGUGAGCUAAUACCGGAUAACACUUUUCAUCUCAUGGUGAGAAGAUAAAAGACGGUUUCGGCUGUCACUUACAGAUGGGCCCGCGGCGCAUUAGCUAGUUGGUGAGGUAACGGCUCACCAAGGCGACGAUGCGUAGCCGACCUGAGAGGGUGAUCGGCCACACUGGGACUGAGACACGGCCCAGACUCCUACGGGAGGCAGCAGUAGGGAAUCUUCCGCAAUGGACGAAAGUCUGACGGAGCAACGCCGCGUGAGUGAUGAAGGUUUUCGGAUCGUAAAACUCUGUUGUUAGGGAAGAACAAGUUGGGUAGUAACUGACCCAACCUUGACGGUACCUAACCAGAAAGCCACGGCUAACUACGUGCCAGCAGCCGCGGUAAUACGUAGGUGGCAAGCGUUGUCCGGAAUUAUUGGGCGUAAAGCGCUCGCAGGCGGUCUUUUAAGUCUGAUGUGAAAGCCCACGGCUUAACCGUGGAGGGUCAUUGGAAACUGGAGGACUUGAGUACAGAAGAGGAGAGUGGAAUUCCACGUGUAGCGGUGAAAUGCGUAGAGAUGUGGAGGAACACCAGUGGCGAAGGCGACUCUCUGGUCUGUAACUGACGCUGAGGAGCGAAAGCGUGGGUAGCGAACAGGAUUAGAUACCCUGGUAGUCCACGCCGUAAACGAUGAGUGCUAGGUGUUAGGGGGUUUCCGCCCCUUAGUGCUGAAGUUAACGCAUUAAGCACUCCGCCUGGGGAGUACGGCCGCAAGGCUGAAACUCAAAAGAAUUGACGGGGGCCCGCACAAGCGGUGGAGCAUGUGGUUUAAUUCGAAGCAACGCGAAGAACCUUACCAGGUCUUGACAUCCUCUGAUACCUCUA
rnacentral:rRNA from 1 species